GGCAGGAUGAGUGCUGUCACUGGAAUCAUGGCGCCGUGGAAGCUGCCCGAGAAAAGCAUCAAGAAAGAUAGAUGGUGACGCUGAUAGAGGGACACAACAAAGCCACAUGAGAAAAAAAUAUGAAGCAUAUGGUAUGAAGAGCCGCUGUGUGUCGCCUCGAUAUGUGAGACCGCCCAGGGAGGACCAGCGCCCCGCACCCACCACCCGUGCUCCUCCGUUGCUAGUUGGCAGGAUCCAGAUUGAGCAGGACCGUGUUCAUCAUAGAAAACGUCCAGUGUCGGCGCAGGAGAUCAUGUGCUUUGUAGGAUGUCAAACUUGUCACAACUAACAGCCGAGUCUUCCACACCAGCAGCCGUGCCUCACGACUCUGAGGAAAAGAAGAGAGGAGUAAAGAUAACAAAGAGAAGAAAGAACAGAAAAGAGGAGAUUUGAAUAAGGAGAAAAUGAUGAAGGAACAGUUCACGUGAGGACUGAAAAGGUGAGGAAGUUUAAUUAAAUGAAUGAAUUGUAGAGAACAGGAUAGAAGAACGAAAGGAAAUAUGAUAAACACGAAGAACAUGGGAGACGAAAACAAGUGGUGUAGGAGAAAACAGACAAGAAAGUCAUGGGAGAUGAGGAAAGGAUAUAAAGGACGGGCUAGACUGGACGCGGGAGAGGAAAAUGCAGAUAAAAGGACAUGAAGGAAGGAGAGAUUGGAAGGACGUGAAGAUAGAUAGAAUUGGAUGGAAGAACGUGGAUGGAAAAAUGACAACCUGAAAAGACGUGAGAGGAAAAAAAGGAACAAAUUAAAGUAAUAUGAAGGGGGGAAUUAUAGACAGGAAGGAAGUGAAAGAGAAAUUAAUAGAUUGGAAGACAACAAGAUUGGACGGGUCAAAAUGAUAUAAAAGUCAAUCUGGUUUGGAAUUGGGAAGUAAACAGCUGUUGGGUGGGUGGUCAGUUGUGUGAGGUGCGCGAUGCUGAAGGAGGGGUGCGUCGAGCUGAGCAACUCGAGACUUCGGGCAGUCUGUGUGAGACAUUCAAGGGAGUGGCCGCGUAAUCCUGUGCCGUGAGUACAAUAUUUGUAUAUUUGGGCCUGUAAAUGGGAACUCUUGGUGUGCUACAUGUUGAUCUGUUGUUGCUGUAUGGUCUGUUGUUUUAUAUUAAUUCUAUAAGGCCUAAAUGAAAAAUGUGUGACCACAGAUUUGUUUAGUAUAUUUCAGAGAAUCAAAUGUUAAAAGGAAAUGU